rnacentral:rRNA from 1 species
CCUACGGGUGGCAGCAGUGAGGAAUAUUGGUCAAUGGGCGCAAGCCUGAACCAGCCAAGUAGCGUGAAGGAUGACUGCCCUACGGGUUGUAAACUUCUUUUAUAAAGGAAUAAAGUGAGGCACGUGUGCCUUUUUGUAUGUACUUUAUGAAUAAGGAUCGGCUAACUCCGUGCCAGCAGCCGCGGUAAUACGGAGGGUCCGAGCGUUAUCCGGAUUUAUUGGGUUUAAAGGGAGCGCAGAUGGGUUGUUAAGUCAGUUGUGAAAGGUUGCGGCUCAACCGUAAAAUUGCAAUUGAUACUGGCAGUCUUGAGUACAGGUGAGGUAGGCGGAAUUCGUGGUGUAGCGGUGAAAUGCUUAGAUAUCACGAAGAACCCCGAUUGCGAAGGCAGCUUACUAAACUGCAACUGACACUGAUGCUCGAAAGCGUGGGUAUCAAACAGGAUUAGAUACCCCGGUAGUC